rnacentral:rRNA from 1 species
GUUGUAUAGUCAAGUAAUUAAGUGCAUGUGGUGGAUGCCUUGGCAGUCAGAGGCGAUGAAAGACGUGAUAGCCUGCGAAAAGCUCCGGGGAGGCGGCAAAUAUCCUUUGAUCCGGAGAUGUCUGAAUGGGGGAACCCACCUACUUUAAGGUAGGUAUUGCAACAUGAAUACAUAGUGUUGCAAGGCGAACGAGGGGAAGUGAAACAUCUCAGUACCCUUAGGAAAAGAAAUCAAUUGAGAUUCCCUCAGUAGCGGCGAGCGAACGGGGAUCAGCCCAUUAAGUUAUGUGUGUUUUAGUGGAACGCUCUGGGAAGUGCGAACGUAGAGGGUGAUAUUCCCGUACACGAAAGGGCACACAUAAUGAUGACGAGUAGGGCGAGGCACGUGAAACCUUGUCUGAAUAUGGGGGGACCAUCCUCCAAGGCUAAAUACUCCUGACUGACCGAUAGUGAACCAGUACCGUGAGGGAAAGGCGAAAAAGAACCCCUGUGAGGGGAGGAAAUAGAUCCUGAAACCGCAUGCAUACAAGCAGUGGGAGCACCUUCGUGGUGUGACUGCGUACCUUUUGUAUAAUGGGUCAGCGACUUAUAUUCAGUAGCGAGGUUAACCGUAUAGGGGAGCCGUAGAGAAAUCGAGUCUUAAUAGGGCGUUUAGUUGCUGGGUAUAGACCCGAAACCAGGCGAUCUAUCCAUGAGCAGGUUGAAGGUUGGGUAACACUAACUGGAGGACCGAACCCACUGUCGUUGAAAAGCCAGGGGAUGACUUGUGGAUAGGGGUGAAAGGCUAAUCAAGCCUGGUGAUAGCUGGUUCUCCCCGAAAGCUAUUUAGGUAGCGCCUCGGACGAAUACCAUAGGGGGUAGAGCACUGUUUCGGCUAGGGGGUCAUCCCGACUUACCAAACCGAUGCAAACUCCGAAUACCUAUGAGUACUAUCCGGGAGACAGACUGCGGGUGCUAACGUCCGUAGUCAAGAGGAAAACAAUCCAGACCGCCAGCUAAGGCCCCAAAAUCAUAGUUAAGUGGGAAACGAUGUGGGAAGGCAUAGACAGCUAGGAGGUUGGCUUAGAAGCAGCCACCCUUUAAAGAAAGCGUAAUAGCUCACUAGUCGAGUCGGCCUGCGCGGAAGAUGUAACGGGGCUAAAACUAUGUGCCGAAGCUGCGGAUGUAUACUUUGUAUACGUGGUAGGGGAGCGUUCUGUAAGCCGAUGAAGGUGUGUUGAGAAGCAUGCUGGAGGUAUCAGAAGUGCGAAUGCUGACGUGAGUAACGACAAAACGGGUGAAAACCCGUUCGCCGAAAGACCAAGGGUUCCAGUCCAACGUUAAUCGGGCUGGGUGAGUCGACCCCUAAGGCGAGGCCGAAAGGCGUAGUCGAUGGGAAAAUGGUUAAUAUUCCAUUACUUCUGUGUAAUGCGAUGAGAGGACGGAGAAGGCUAAAUCAGCCUGGCGUUGGUUGUCCAGGUGAAAGGAUGUAGGCAUGUAUCUUAGGCAAAUCCGGGGUACUCUAUGCUGAGAUCUGAUAGCAAGCUGUACUUGUACAGCGAAGUGGUUGAUGCCAUGCUUCCAGGAAAAGUCUCUAAGCUUCAGUUACACAGGAAUCGUACCCGAAACCGACACAGGUGGUCAGGUCGAGUAGACCAAGGCGCUUGAGAGAACUCUGCUGAAGGAACUAGGCAAAAUGGUACCGUAACUUCGGGAGAAGGUACGCUGUUGUUGGUGAUGGAACUCGCUUCCUGAGCUGACGACAGCCGCAGAAACCAGGCCGCUGCAACUGUUUAUUAAAACAUAGCACUCUGCAAACACGAAAGUGGACGUAUAGGGUGUGAUGCCUGCCCGGUGCUGGAAGGUUAAUUGAUGGGGUUAGCGUAAGCGAAGCUCUUGAUCGAAGCCCCAGUAAACGGCGGCCGUAACUAUAACGGUCCUAAGGUAGCGAAAUUCCUUGUCGGGUAAGUUCCGACCUGCACGAAUGGCAUAAUGAUGGCGGCGCUGUCUCCAGCAGAGGCUCAGUGAAAUCGAAAUCGCUGUGAAGAUGCAGUGUACCCGCGGCUAGACGGAAAGACCCCGUGAACCUUUACUGCAGCUUGACACUGAACUUUGACCUUACUUGUGUAGGAUAGGUAGGGGAGGUUUUGAAGCUGGAACGCUAGUUCCAGUGGAGCCGUCCUUGAAAUACCACCCUGGUAAUGUUGAGGUUCUAACUCUGUCCCGUGAUCCGGGACGAGGACCGUGUCUGGUGGGUAGUUUGACUGGGGCGGUCUCCUCCUAAAGAGUAACGGAGGAGUACGAAGGUGCGCGCUCAGCGUGGUCGGAAAUCACGCGUAGAGUAUAAAGGCAAAAGCGCGCUUAACUGCGAGACCCACAAGUCGAGCAGGUACGAAAGUAGGUCUUAGUGAUCCGGUGGUUCUGUAUGGAAGGGCCAUCGCUCAACGGAUAAAAGGUACUCUGGGGAUAACAGGCUGAUACCGCCCAAGAGUUCAUAUCGACGGCGGUGUUUGGCACCUCGAUGUCGGCUCAUCUCAUCCUGGGGCUGAAGCAGGUCCCAAGGGUAUGGCUGUUCGCCAUUUAAAGAGGUACGCGAGCUGGGUUUAGAACGUCGUGAGACAGUUCGGUCCCUAUCUACCGUGGGCGCUGGAAAUUUGAGAGGAUCUGCUCCUAGUACGAGAGGACCAGAGUGGACGAACCUCUGGUGUACCGGUUGUGACGCCAGUCGCAUCGCCGGGUAGCUAUGUUCGGAAGGGAUAACCGCUGAAAGCAUCUAAGCGGGAAGCCUACCUCAAGAUAAGAUUUCCCUAGGGACUUUAUGUCCUCUAAAGAGCCGUUCGAGACUAGGACGUUGAUAGGUUGGAUGUGGAAGCAUAGUGAUAUGUGAAGCUGACCAAUACUAAUUGCUCGUGAGGCUUGACUAUACAACACCCAAGCAGUUG